rnacentral:rRNA from 1 species
GACGAACGCUGGCGGUGUGCUUAACACAUGCAAGUGGUGCGACGAACCAGAGCUUGCUCUGGGGCCAAGCCGCGAACGGGUGAGUAACACGUGGGUAAUCUGCCCCGAUGACCGGGACAACCCGAGGAAACUCGGGCUAAUACCGGAUGUGGCAUGUCGGCUCAAGCCGACCUGUCAAAGGUAGCUUCGGCUUCCGCAUUGGGAGGGGGCCGCGGCCCAUUAGCUUGUUGGUGGGGUCAAGGCCUACCAAGGCAACGAUGGGUAGCUGGUCUGAGAGGACGAUCAGCCACACUGGGACUGAGACACGGCCCAGACUCCUACGGGAGGCAGCAGUGGGGAAUCUUGCGCAAUGCGCGAAAGCGUGACGCAGCAACACCGCGUGAGGGAAGACGGCCUUAGGGUUGUAAACCUCUUUCAGUUGGGACGAAGGUUCAACGGUGAAUAGCCGAUUGGACUGACGGUACCUUCAGAAGAAGCUCCGGCUAACUACGUGCCAGCAGCCGCUGUAA